rnacentral:lncRNA from 1 species
UUGUUUUCAAUUUUUUAUAUAAAUUGAAAUAAUUUGACACACUAUAUAUUGAUGUAAAAUAAAUCAUUUUCAAAUGUUUAAAAAAAGCUAAUUAAAGCCCUAAUCUUUACGUUAGGUUAAAAUAAUUUUUCACCACUUGAGAGGUGGAUAACGCCCAACUGUCACCUCACCUGUACCAUCACAAUGUGACUUGUCCUUGUUUGUUCUUCAAUUUUUCUUUAUAUUUUGAACUUUUAAUUUUUUUCUGGAUAAUUCGUGAAAGGGGGUGGGCAGAGGUUAGGUGUGGUACGGAAUGGAAUAGAACCGAUUGCUAUUGGUUUUUUAUGAAAAAAUUAAAACCGAAAAAAAUAGUAGGUUUGAUUUGGUUCGAUUAUGUUAGUUUUUGGGCCCAUUGUGCUUUUUGAAUUUCGAAACCCAUUUCAACUUCAUUUAAUUUCUUUUUUCCUAAUUUUAAACUUGUCACAGUGUCACCUGCUGAAUUAAGAUCAGGAAAGCAUAGCAAAUACAUCACAAAUACAAUAAUUAACCCAAAAAAAUUUCAAAUUCAUCACUACCUAGUAGCUACUACCGCUAUAACAUUAUAUGAAAAAUUAGGGAUAUAAAUCCGAAAUUCCCAUGUCUCAUCUAUCUAAAUAAAUAUAAUGAUGUAAAGAAAAUAAGAGUAACACCAUAAUGCAUGAACAAACAUCAUCAACAUUCAACAUUUGGACUUUGCCAUAUGCUCCUCAUUCAACUGCCAUUUUGCUCCUCAGCUUCUCGUUUUUGUUGAGCUAGCAUUAGGCCUCAAAAAUUAUACAAGUAAUUAAAAUAAUCAUAUCAAAAUCAAUGUUGAAAGUGAGCUUACCAAAAAUAACACAACAAAUAACAUUAUUACAUGCGUCAAUUAAUUUAUAGAAUUCAAUUUCCUCCUGACUUGGUUGUAUUAUGUGCUCUCUUACUAGAGUUGAGUAAAGUCAAUUUUGAGUGUAAAUGAAGGACUCAAUUGUUUUAUGAGUUAAAGAAUUAUUAAAGGAAUGAAGAAUACACUCUUGUGCUAAAUGCUGACUCGGAAGCCACGGCAGACAUUAGAAUCACCAAAACAUUUUUGACAAUUUGAGAUAAAAUAGAUACAUAAACUCAUUCAACUUCUACCAAAAGAGAGGAAAUUAGGACAAACAUGUUUUUAUGUACAAUUUUUUUUUUAAUAGUUCUAGGUUUUCCAUUUCCUACACAACAAUUAGGAUUUUUAAUGCCUACUUGUGUGACGGAGGCUAUUGAAGAUGGCUACUGAAGAUAGCAGAGAAGAUUGCAACCUUCUUCUACUUCAUCAAAAAUUCAAGGUAUGUUUAUACCCCCUAUGCAUAUAUAUCAUAACUAAGAAAAGUUCAUGGCUUUCGUUGUAUGAAAAAUUAUUCUUUUUUAGGUUUGAUUUCUAACAUAUGAUUCAUUGAACUUAUGGUGUGUUUACUUCUUUGAAUAAGGAAAGAGAAUAGAGGAAUGAGAAUUACAGGUAUGUUUACUUAACAAAAUUGAAUUUGGGAAUGUGAAUAAAUUAUGUGGGACCCAUAUAAUUUGGGAAUAAAGAAUGAGAAUCUCAUUCCCAUGGGGGGUUGGGAAUGAAAAUGUGGGAAUGAGAAUGAAACAUAAUUUUACUUUUCUAUCCUUCUAA